GAUGAACGCUGGCGGCGUGCUUAACACAUGCAAGUCGAACGAAGCACUUAAUGAGAUUUCUUCGGAUUGAUUAUUUUGUGACUGAGUGGCGGACGGGUGAGUAACGCGUGGGUAACCUGCCCCAGACCGGGGGAUAACAGUCGGAAACGACUGCUAAUACCGCAUAAGCGCACAGUGCCGCAUGGCACGGUGUGAAAAACUCCGGUGGUCUGGGAUGGACCCGCGUCCGAUUAGUUAGUUGGCGGGGUAACGGCCCACCAAGACCGCGAUCGGUAGCCGACCUGAGAGGGUGACCGGCCACAUUGGGACUGAGACACGGCCCAGACUCCUACGGGAGGCAGCAGUGGGGAAUAUUGCACAAUGGGGGGAACCCUGAUGCAGCGACGCCGCGUGGAGGAAGAAGGUCUUCGGAUUGUAAACUCCUGUUGUUGAGGAAGAUAAAUGACGGUACUCAACAAGGAAGUGACGGCUAACUACGUG
rnacentral:rRNA from 1 species